rnacentral:rRNA from 1 species
UACGGAGGGUGCGAGCGUUAAUCGGAAUCACUGGGCGUAAAGCGCGCGUAGGCUGUUUUUUAAGUCAGGGGUGAAAUCCCACCGCUCAACGGUGGAACUGCCUUUGAAACUGGGAGACUUGAGUACGGGAGAGGGUGGCGGAAUUCCAGGUGUAGGGGUGAAAUCCGUAGAUAUCUGGAGGAACACCGGUGGCGAAGGCGGCCACCUGGCCCGUAACUGACGCUGAGGUGCGAAAGCGUGGGUAGCAAAC